rnacentral:rRNA from 1 species
UACGUAGGGGGCGAGCGUUGUUCGGAAUUACUGGGCGUAAAGGGCGUGUAGGCGGCCCCUUUUGUCGCGUGUGAAAGCCCCGGGCUCAACCUGGGAACUGCAUCUGUGACUGCAUUGCUGGAGUGCGGCAGAGGGGGAUGGAAUUCCGCGUGUAGCAGUGAAAUUCGUAGAUAUUCGCAAGAACACCAGUGGCGAAGGCGGCUCACUGGCCCGAUACUGACGCUGAGGUGCGAAAGCGUGGGGAGCAAACAGG